rnacentral:rRNA from 1 species
UAGUAUUUAUUAGAUAGAAACCAACCCCUCUGGGGUGAUGUGGUGAAUCAUAAUAAGCUUGCGGAUUGUAUGGCUUCGGCCGGCGAUGGAUCAUUCAAGUUUCUGCCCUAUCAGCUUUGGAUGGUAGGGUAUUGGCCUACCAUGGCUUUAACGGGUAACGGGAAAUUAGGGUUUGAUUCCGGAGAGGGGGCCUGAGAGAUGGCCACCACAUCCAAGGAAGGCAGCAGGCGCGUAAAUUACCCGAUCCUGACACAGGGAGGUAGUGACAAUAAAUAACAAUGCCGGGCCUUUAUAGGUCUGGCAAUUGGAAUGAGAACAAUUUAAAUCCCUUAUCGAGGAUCAAUUGGAGGGCAAGUCUGGUGCCAGCAGCCGCGGUAAUUCCAGCUCCAAUAGCGUAUAUUAAAGUUGUUGCAGUUAAAAAGCUCGUAGUUGGAUUUGUGGUGUACGGUGAGUUCCAGGCACUUGUUGUCUGAGCAACUUGCGGUUGCCAUCCUUGGGUGGAACCUGUGUGGCAUUAGGUUGUCGUGCAGGGGAUGCCCAUCGUUUACUGUGAAAAAAUUAGAGUGUUCAAAGCAG